GGGUUUAAUCCUGGGUCAGAAGGAACGCUAGCUAUAUACUUAACACGUGCAAGUCGAACGUUGUUUUUAGAGAGAUGGGAAGAAGGAAAAGAGGCUCUUAGAUAAAGGUAUCUUGUCUCUCCCAGGAGGUGAGAAGAGUUGAGAACAAAGUGGCAAACGGGUGUGUAAUGUAUAGGAACCUGCUGAAUAGUUCAAGCCAAAUCUUGAAGAAAGAAAAAAAUGUUGUUUAAUGAGUUUGCAUAGUAUUAGGUAACUUUUUAGGUAAAGGCUAACCAAGACAUGAUGCUUAUCUAGUCUUUUCAUAUGAUCAUUCAUACGGGGACUGAGACAUAUCCCAUCUCCCAUGGAGGGCAGCAGUGGGGAAUAUUGGACAAUGGGCGAAAGUUGAUCCAGCAAUAUCGUGUGAGUGAAAAAGGGCCAUGCCUCUUAUAAAGCUAUUUAUUUAAGUGUGUGAUCAUGAUAUAACUCAAUAAAUAAGCCUCGGAUAACUCCAUUUUAGUAACCGCGGUAAGAUCGGGGGUACAAGUGUUCUUUAAAAUGACUGGGCGUAAAGGGAACGUAGAUGGUGAAUUGGGUUGAAAGUGAAAGUCACCAAAAACUACAGAAUGCUCUCAAAACCAAUUCACUUGAGUGAUAUAGAGGAGAGUGUAAUUCAUAUGUAUGGGUGAAAUUUGGAUAUCUACGAAUGAAUGCCAAAAGUGAAGGUAGCUCUCUGGGUCCCUAGUGAUGCUGAGGUGUGAAUGCAUAGGGAGCAAACAAGAUUAGAUACACUAGUAGUCCAUGCCGUAUAUAAUAAGUGUUUUCCAAUGGUCUACAUAGAUUGAGAGCUGAGAUAAUGCAUGAAACACUCCACC
rnacentral:ncRNA from 1 species